UGCUUUUUUACAGAAAAGGCAGGUUAAGGGGAUAGAUUUGCAGAAGGACUUACCAGGACUUUAAACUUAUGGUUAUGAUAGAGGGGUUUUCCUUAACCCCCAUAUGGUUCAUGAGUUAACGGAGUGGUGUAAAUUCGGUGAUAUAUUAUGGCAGGCUACUUUAGAUGGUGAUAAAACUGCCAAGAAGUUAGGUAAAUUAUGGCGGGUCGUUCACAAGGAAUUGCUGCAGUUUCAGGCUGAAAAAAAGGCUGCUCAGCAGUCUACCGCCACUCAUGACCAUAAUAAAGAUUAUCAUCAAGAUAGGGAAUACGAUCAGGAGAGAGGAAUUCCAUUGGCCCCCGCAAUGAGGACGGUUUCAUUACCUGCUUCACCGCCCCCUUCGGCAAGCCAGGCUACACAGAGCGCUUUAUUACCUGCUUCACCACUCUCUUCGGCGAGCCAGGCUACACAGACCACUUCUGAGGCUCCCGUACCCUCUGAACAACAGCAGCCAUGGCUGAGACCGCCCGGUCAGCUCCCCAAAAGCAAUCAGCCGAUCCCUGGGGCGGAAAAUGACCUAGUGGGGGCUAUUGUGAGGGAGCAACGGGAGGCAUGGGCUGCCUUGGCGAGAGAUGCAAUGGAAAAGGGAGAUCAGGAGAUUAUAAGCGUGGCUACUGAGCUGGCUUGCCCAGUUAUCUUCAGUCCUCAGGACGGGGGCUGCAUGCAGGCGACCAUUACCGCUAUUGAUUGGAAAUUGUCUCAACUACGAUCUACUGUUAGUCAGUUUGUAGUUAAAAGUGAGCCAGCCAAACAGAUGCUAGAUUAUAUUUUUGAUACUAGCCUCCUUCUCAUUAAUGAUUGCCGUGGAUUAGCUAAAUUGAUUUUUACCCAACACCAGCAAUUGUUAUUUAAUGCUCAUUGGCAAGCACUUGUUAACGAGUGUGUGGCAGUUCCGAGGCAGCCGGGUGACCCUCUCCAUGGCAUCACUGUUAAUGAGCUUAUGGGCCUGGGACCUUUUCUUCGUACCGAGGCACAAGCUCUAUUGGGCCAGGAGAAGUGCCGGGAGGCUAUGAGGUUAGUUAGACUCGCUAUAGAAAGGGUAAAGGAACCAGGAGGGGUACCCAUGUAUAUGGGAAUUAAGCAAGGGGCAGAAGAGUCAUUUGGGUCAUUUAUUGAUAAGGCUGCUGCUGCAAUUGAAAGAGCUGGGGUGCCAGAAUAUCUUAGGGGGGCAUUACUCAAGGAAUGUGCUCUCCAAAAUUGUAAUUCUACUACUAGGAGAGUGAUUAAUACUCUGGGUGCCAAUUGGACUAUAGAGGAGGCAUUAGAAAGGAUGGCUUUGGUGCCAACAGGACCAGAAGCCUUUGUAGCAGAUGCAAUCAAACAAGUAGGGCUAGACUUACAAGAACAGGCAAAAUCCUCUCA
rnacentral:lncRNA from 1 species